rnacentral:lncRNA from 1 species
ACCUAGAGAUCUUAACUUAAUACAUCAAAUACAUUGCUAAAUAAUAAAGCAGAUAACCAUGUUCGCCUAACACCAAGAAGCAGCAUAAACAAAAUGGAAAUUUCUAAUUUCCUUGCUCAAACAAAUUAGGGACUAAGAACAACAUCCCGUAGAUAUCAAAAAGAUUUGAACACAUGGAGACAAAUGCCCCCUCAUAACAAUUAUAAGAAAAAGUUGUGACACUCUCUGCAUUUCAUACUUACAUGCAAUGAAUCUGGAAAGUGAGAAUCUUUUAUACAAAGAUCAGCAUUUGCUAAACCAGUAUAAAUCCUUUACUCCGAAUCAAACAUGAAUCACACACAAAAAAAAUCUCCACAGGAUGAAAAUGGUACUUGGCCAUUUUAAACCCAACAAAAUUCAAUCAAUUAAGCAACAUGUUCUCCAUUCCGAAACUCAAUAUUUUUGUGCCAAGGUAUAACAAACAGUUUGGCUUAAAAUUGAAUCUCAAGAUCCAAGUCAUUUCUCGAGUACUCAUCCAGUCGGUCAAACUUCUUUUUAAAAAUCUCACCAGAUAGAUCUCUAACCAUGUCUAUCUUUAUGUUGAAUAAGAUUGGCCAAAUGAUACAAAUUCACAAAAUCCAAGCAAGUUGUCAAAGCUCGAAUCUAAUUGCCAAAAUUAAAUAUUCACAACCAAUAUUAUAAAUCAGAACUCAAAUUGCAGAAUUUCAUGCACCCAGAGUGUAGCCUUUCAAAUUCAAGCCACAUAAUCCAAAUUAACAAGUAUCAAAAUCUUUACCAGACAAUCAUCUCCUUUCGCUUGCUAGUCAUGCUACAUGUGUUUCACCAACAAAUAUACUAUUCAUAGGGCUUUUCAAUAACACCUUCAAGUUCCAAUAAGCAGUUCCAUUAAAAUUUAGUUUCUUUUGUCUUUUUUUUUUGUUAAUAUUUCAGUUUCACAAACCAAAAAAAUUAGUAUGUGCUCCUUCAGAUUUUUCUAUACCCACUUCCUCUCAAGAACUGAAUGAUCUUAACUGCACUCUUUUUUCGCAGUUUGUCCUUUUGCUGACUGCCUCCAAUCUCCCAUUUUAAUCCACAUUCUACCUUUACUUUCAGAGACCAAUAACGAUUUAACAUAGGUUAUAUUCUCAGAUUUAAACACCUAGAUCACCAAUUAGGUGUCUAUAUUACUGGUUAGGUAUCACUCAGCUUUAUUAAUUCUUUAUUUCAAUGUCAAGAUUUAUUGUUCUCAUGUAUGCACAUUGUGGGAAAAUUUUUUACCAUUGUUCAAUCACGUCAAAAGCAAACAUGGCCUGCUAGAUUAAAAUAUUCCCAAAUCAUGAUUUGUUUAAAAAAGGAAAAAGGUUUUCUACCAUAGUGUCCCAGUAAAAAAAUGUCACUAACUCCACAAAUUUGCCAUUAUGUAAAAUCUAAACUAUUGCAGUAAACUGAUGCAACAAACCAGAUUCAACUUGAACAUAAGCCUCAAGUAUCAAAGAUAGCCCUAAUCCAAGAAUGACAACAUACUUGGAUGAGCCUCUACUCUCAGUACUCAGAGAAAAGCACAUCUGAUUAUGGGUAAAAUCUACUAAACAUACCUUAUUGCACCAGAGUGUAAGCCCUCUUAUAUAAAGAGAGGAUCACAACCAAAAAUCCAACAAGAAACUUUAUUAAAAUUUCAGGUAUUAUACAUCAAAAGAAGUUUAUGCAUCAAGUCCAUCCGAUCAGUAGAAUUUUGAACCCCAGUAAACAAGCAAACUUUAAAGAUUAAACUAAAUCUAAACCUUUUGAUUAUACUUAAUUGAAUUAAACUACCUUUACACAGCUGCCCAUGCUGGAAUGGUUGAGCACAAAACAAAUGACAAUUGACAAGGUACAAGUUGAUCAAACAAAAUUUUACAAGAUUUUUGUUAAUGAAGGUGUAUAUCACAUGCAUUUCACAAUAUAUGAGUAGCAGCAAGGCAGUAACUACUAAAACAGAAAAGGGAAGCUUCAUGAUAAGUUGGUAACUUGAUUAACAGUACUGGAAAUUGAGUUAAAAAUGACACCAUAUUGCAAAAGGUAAUUUCACUAAUAUCAAAUAAAGCAUAAAUGAGACAAAAUCGUCAGAGUGCACUUCAGAAUACAAAUGAUCCGGCAUACAUAUAAAGGGAUAAAAAAAUCAAGAGUUUAUAUUUGACAUGGAAGAAUAUCUUAACGAGGUUUUGUAAACUUCAAAAUAUCCUAGAAUGAUCUUCUCAAAAAGUCCCUAUAACAUACACCUAAACAGUGAUGCUACUUUCACAUGCUCCAAAACUUGAAAACAUUAUAAACAAAUUCUUAAGCAAAUAGGUAAAUCAAAGGUUUAAGAAAAGGUUUAAAGAAAGACUAACCACCAGAAGACGAACCAGAUUCACUACUAGAACUACUUGAACUACUGCAUUUACUGCUCUUUUGGGCUGCAUCUUUUUCUAUCUCUACUGCAGGGUAACUUGAAAUAGCAGGAUCAUUUCCACCCACAAUAUCUACAUCUUCAUCAACUGGUUCAUUGCCUAAAAAUAUAGUGAAUAGAUUUGAAAUUGCCAACAAAGUAUGUGUACCUGCUAUCUAAUAUUUCAAUGUGCACAAGCAUGAAGUAGAAAGAUUACCUUUGCAAGGUUGCAAUGAUGAAUUGCUAAAUCCAGACUCAUUAAGCAGCUGGUCAACAAACCAUGCCAAAAUUGAGAUAAAUCAGGUACUAUCCCCACAAAGAUGCACAUAAAAAAAAAGGGUGAAAUAAAUAAAUGCAAAGAAACAAGAAUGAGAGACAGUUACCUCCAUUUCGCAUGCUUCUGCUUUGGCCUGGUUUUUCCGUUUCUCCAGUAAAUAAUCAUCCAGGAGCUUCCGCAAUUUAAACAGUGUAUCAUCACUAAGAGCAUCAAUGUCAAUCUCAAUUUCAUCUUCACCUGUCUGGUCAGCACUAUGACUAUUCUCUUUUAGAAAGUCAAUAAUGCUAUCAGGCAAUUCACCUAGCAAUGCUUCCAAUUCAGUGCUCAACUUGUGCUUCUCCUCGUCAGUCAUUAUCCGCCUAGUAGGUUCAGACUUGACCUUAUUGUCAUUUGGUGCAAUUUUCUUCUUUUUGGCAGGACGUGUACCAAUAUUUAUUUCUGUUUCCAUAGCAACAUGAGUUCUCUGAGGCAUCGACUCCACAUUAAUGGUCACCAGAAGCUUCUUCUCUAUAGCUUUCCAUCUCACUUCAAAAUAUUUACUUAGUGCCUCUGCCAUAAAAUGGACAUCAUUGCCUGGGGGGUUGUACUUCAUUGCAUUUGAGAAAGUUAAUCGCACAUCUGCAGCAAAAUCCAGUGGACUUGAAUAUGCACCUGAAGCAAUCUUGCUCUUCACUGUGCCCAAAUCCAUUGGAUUUUUAAUGACAGUGAAAUAAUCUGGAAUAUUCAACUUCACCACAUCAACUGGUGUAUUGAAAACCCAACCAAACUGAUGUGCCAUUAGACGGUUAAGCAAGGUUUCACACUGUUUCAUCAACAUAGUAUUAGAAGUAAUCACUGGUGCACCUGGCUUUGCUGGUUCAGGACGCCUAUGCGUAGUCUUUUUUGUUUGGGCUCCAUUACGUCCAGGUGGAGCUCGUUUCCUGCUCUGUGAAGCUGAUACUUCCAAAGAAUUAUUCACGCCCUCUAGCGGAGGCCUCCUGUGACCAUCACUGCAACUUCUAAUAUCACUAGAAGGCGACAAUACAACUGCAUUUGAACUCAAAAAAUCCACUUUCCUUUGGAGGACCCUGACCCGAUCAAGUUCCCCUUUCAACCUAAACUCUAAAUCCUUCCUCUCUGACCUUGACAUCUUUGACAAUGAAAAGACUUGCAUUGGGACACCAAAACUAUCAUAACCAUCUAGGUUCAGACUCAUACAUUUUCUCUUGGGAGCAAAGGAAUCUUCUGAUGCUGUCAACUCAGUUUCAACUCGCCCAGAACUUCCAAACCCCUCUGAUUCACCCACAGUCUCAACAGCAUGCCGGUAAUCUGGAAUAAAACCAGAGGAAUGCCCUUUAGAGUAUUUCCUUGAUUUCCCCAUUGGUUGUGAAAGCCAACACUUCCUUGAUUCCUUCUGUCCAAUAAACUCUAUAGGAACAGUUGGUGCCAUAAGAUUAAGUCCCAAUAACUGCACAUGUCAACUUCGCGAUUAAUUUUUAUUCCACAGCUUCACUUUCAAAAUAUCUGGAUAUCCAAAAGGUGCAAUAUCAUGAAAAUGCUCAGCUUGUGGUUCACAACAUAAUUAGCUUUGAUUUCUCUAAAGGAUCCAUUUUUCAAAAUUUUUAGAAUUUUCAGGAAUGAGGUAAAUAGAACAAUAAUUUCAACUCAACAGCAGCACCGGUUCCUUUUCUUUCCACAUAAUGAUCCUUUUUUUUUUCCUGCAAUGUAUUUGGAGUUUAACCAAAAAGCCUCAAUGCACUAUGUAACCCUCCUAAAAAUAAUAUGGAGGGACAAAAAAAUUGAAAACUACAAUUUAAUGGUGUCGAUAAUACAAACUCAGCAUCUCCAAUGGCGAAAUAACUCUAAAUGUUGCUCUAACAAAAGCCUGAGAAUCCCGAGUUCACUGAAUGAAGCAUAGUAACCCUCCCAAAAGCCUAAAAUACAAUCGACUAAACCUAUAAUAAGACCAGAUAUUCCCACCAAAAAUAAUAAUCUUUCCCUAUCGCCCGGAAACUUUCAACGGAAUAAAAAAAAUCCUCAAAAUGAUUCAAGAAAUUAUAGCACCGAAAAGAACAAAAAUAAAUACUUACUAGGAAACAACCUAAGCUCCUUCGAGCAAAAACCCCCAAGUGAAAACCCUAGAUCGAAUCGAAACUAAAUUAGUGCAUCGACGCUGAAAUACAAUGUGCAACAAAACCCUACUAAGGAGGUUUAUCCUUCACCAGAUCCAACUAAAAACCUGGAUCUCGCGCCAGAGUUCUUGAUUCGAACAAACCCUAGAGAAACAGAGAUUCGACAGAAGCCCCUCUUCGCUAUUAUUCUUCACCAAAAUAGCGAAACAAUAAGAAAAACAGAAGUGAAAGAGAGGAGAAGAGAGAUAGCUCGAAGCCUGAUAUGGUUGGGCUACUUCGCACCUCUACUUAAAGGCCCAAUUCGCCUCAUUGCGCCAAUCCCAGCCGUUCAUCACGACUCCAUCACAUGCAACGUAUAAAAUUACAUUAUUUUUUGUCCACCGUCAAAUUCGGGAUCUGACGGCUAUGGUUAUUAUCUGCCUUUCUAAGAUCUACGUAGACCGUGUAGGAUUUAAUUAAUUAAUUUUUACUACUAAGUUCUAGAAGCGGGAGUUUAUAAAUAAAUAAAUAUAUUAAUUAAAAUGCCAACAGAAGCAAAGAGAACGCGCGCGAGUAUGUAAAAUUUGUAUUCGCGGUGCUAUGGAGCUACGUGUGGAGUUUGAGGGGAUUGCUGUAGGUGAUUGUUUGCGUGAUCGAGUAUAAAGAUUUGAAAGUUAUGGAUAAGGAAAGUCGACAAAAUUACACAGAGUUGCCGAGCACGUGUCUCAUUUGACUUUUCACUGCCACGUAAUGCGGCCGAUGAGAUGGCAUUAUGCUCCCACGUGCUUCUUUUUGAUGAUUGCAAAUGCCAUUCCCCAUCCGCAUUGGCAAUAUUUUGUCUCAAAUUGUAACCGUUACUGCUUUACCGUGAAUUUGGAUAGAAUUGUGGAGAGGGUGGAAAAUAAACGAGGAAACUGUCUUUUAUUUUUUUAUUUUUCUUGAAUAAUAAAAAAAUAAAAUUUCUUUUUUGAAAAAUGGAGAGAAUAUAAAGAAAUUAAAAUAUUAAUAUGCCUCUUGUUAUAUAAAUUAAAUUUUGUUAUAUGACCAGUAAUCUACAUAUAGUAAUAGACUAUUAAAUAAUAAUAAAUUUUACUUAACUAAGACAAUAUGAUAUUUUUUACAUUCAUAUAUUUUUGAAAUAUAUAGUAUUAAUUUUACAUAUUAUUUUAUUUUUAUUUUAAUAAUGAUAUUAUUUUUUAUUCUUGUUUUGAAAAUGGUCUUUUACUAUUUUAAAUUAACAGAGUAGUAUUAAAAUUUUAAGCUGAAAUGAAAUUAAUAAAAAUAAAAAUUAAUUAAAACUGAUGAUCUGAGAUCUAGAAAAUAGAGUUUUACAAUGGUUGAGUAAGUUUGGUAUGAGAGGAGGGUGCUCCUUUCCUUUUAUUCUUUUUCUUGGUCUGUCAGUGACGUGUAAUGGCUUCACUGCCAUUGGGCCACCUGUCUCUGCCAUACGGAUACGGUCGUACGAAUAUAUCAGACAUCUGCUCCAUGUGUAACGACCAUUUAAUUGUCCCUUCUAGCACGCGGGUUAACCGAGCAAUUCGGGACUGGGCCAGUGAUCCUCACUUUGCUAAGCUUCCAGGCCGGGCUCGGGGAGAGAAGGCUGGGUCCCGAGAAAAGCCCGACCUCAAGGACGAAUGGGCUGGGUCUUCUCAUUUGCGGGAUUCCGUGGGUCCUGGGCCGGCCCUGUCACUGUGGGCUCGGCCUCUUACGAGGACUGCUUCCCUUAAAACGUCUCUUCUUCUCUCUCCUUUUCUUUACUAUUUCAAAAUUUAAAUUUUCUUAGCCCUUUAGAAUCUUUCCUCUCCUCUGUUCUCUGUGCGUUCUGCCUGUUCUGUCUUCCUGCCCCCAUUGUUUUCAAGGUACGCUUCUUAUUUCCCCAUGGAUAGCCCUAAGCUUCCUGACGUCUUUGAUCUUGAGUCCAGUAUUACUCAUUCUACUCUAAAAAACUUCAUUUCGCGGGAGUACUUGGAUACCCCUCUCUUCCACAUCCGAGCUCCCUAUCGUAAUGAGAGGAUCGUUCUUCCCGAUCCUCCUCCUUCUGGUUUAAUCGACCCUCAAAAGGACCUUAGUCUAGUCUUUUUCAUCAAACAAUGAGAAUAUGGUCUUACCUUUCCUUUUUCUCCUUUUUUUACUGAGGUCUUCCGGUAUUUCGGGAUAACCCCCCAAAUGCUGACUCCCAACUCCAUCCUGUUCAUGUGUUCCUUUGAGUCAGUUUGCCUGAGCUGGGGGUUUACACCCACAGCGCGUCUGUUUGUUACCUUUUUUCGAUUAGUGAAAGCGAGUCAAGGCUUUUACUAUUUUGACCCUCGGGGAGGGCUGUCCAUCUUUACUGUCACAAGGACUCGAUAAAAGGCUGGGUAGAAGGGUUCGCUAUGGUUGAGCUGAAGAAGGACUCCGGGUUGUCUUGGGAGGUGGAGCUCUCAUGGGAGGAUGUCCUUCUAGGCUGCAAUGACCUGCCCCAGCUAAGUCUUACCGAGCAGGUCGGGUUCCUUCGACUGACUUCUGUUGACAAGAAGUAUGAUGUCGAAAGGUGUAUGUUUGUGUCCACCCUUCAGGAUUGCAGGGCUGCCGGUACUUUAUUUCAUUUAAUUGUUUUGCCUCUUCUUUGUGAUUUUCACUGAGGGUUGUUCUAAUUUGUUUUGGUUUUGGCUCUUUGCAGCUUCUAACGUUAAGAUGGACCAAAUCAAGCCCCCAAAGAACUUUACCCUAUCUCGGGAGAGUAUGAAUGCUGCCUUAGAUGUCCUCCGAGCUGGGCGGUCCGUGUCGGAAGCCACUCAGGAGGUGGCCCAGGUCAUCUCUUCCAGAUCGGCAGGUCGGUCUGCUCAUCCUGUUUCAGCUUCUUCCCGAGCUCCCAAGCCGAGCUCCCAAGGUGUCAGGACCUCUAGGCCCUCCAGCCGUAGCAGGUCGAGCUCGAUUCCUCAGUCUUCCUAGGCCCCGAAGUCCCAACAGGUCUCUGCUGCGAGGACGGAGAGGGCUCCCAGGGUUACUGACAGGUCGGUUGAAGAUCCUAGGCAUGUGAGGACGGAUGUUGCCUCAUCUUUGGAGGAUGUCCCUAAAGAGAGAGCCCAAGUCACUCCGGUUGAUAGGAGAGCCUCAAGCGGUGAAAUGGAGGUUUUAGGAGCUUCCGUGGAGAUUGCCCCCGCAGCUGAGGACGUUCUUAUGGAGGGGGUCGAGUCCGAGCUAAAGGAUAGCAUUCCUCCCCGAGAGGAGUCCUCAGUUGCCCCUGAGGGUGCUGUCGAGGAGGCCACGAACAAGCGUCCUCCCCCUUCUGAAGCGCCUGCCCCGGCUCCUGUCCCCAAGAGUUCUCGGGCCUCCAGAAGACCAGCUCCUGCCCUGCCUCCUCUAGAAAAGGAAAAAACUCCUGUGGUGCCUCUGCUCUCUGCUACUGACAACGAGAUUCUGAACGCAGAGGACAUCACUCACCAAUCUCCAGCAAGCGUUGUCGCGGAGAUCCUAAGGAAGCGGAUGUUUGGCGGGCUACAGAGGCUUCGGACCCUCGUCUGCCUACUCUUACUGGCCUUUUGGCUAGCUCUACUCGAGAGCAAGCAGCAUUCUGGUCUCGGACUCGAGGGGAGCUUGGAGACACAAUCAGGGAGAUGCUUUUGAUGGUAAGUUAUCCCUUCUGAUUUUUGCUUUUAUUUUGGUUCUCUUUGUUUCCUAGUCCUAACAGUUUUCUCUUUGUGCUAGGUGAUGGGCCUUUUCAUGGAGGUGGAUGCUCGUGACCACUCUCUCCGGGAGUUUGUAGAUCGCCGGAUUGAGGAGGCACGCCUAGAGGAGAACUUGUCUGCCACCAGUGAUGCCAGGGGCAAUCUUGCAAUGGCCCACGAGCAUUCGAAGUCCUUACAGGUGAAACUAUCAUAUACCCUGGACGCUCUCAAGAGAGCUGAUGAAAAGGCAGCUGCGGUAGAAAUUCGCUGUGAUGAAGCUUUGAAACAACUGUCUUCCCUGGAAGAGGUUCGGCGGGAGAGGGACGAGGCUGUGAGCCAAAAGAACAAGGUCUGGCACCAAUACAAGGCCUUAAAGGCAGAUUCUGAGGCAGCCCAGACUCAUUAUGAUGCCGUGAUAGCCCAAAGGGAGGAAGCCUUGGCUCGAAUAGUGGUCCUCGAGCAAGAGCUGAUUAAGCAUGCAAAUAGUGAGAAAGACCUGGCCCUGGCAGCAGAGGCAUCUAGACUUCAAAACCAGCAUCUCUGCCAGGAGGUCGAGGCUCUUAAGAGGAGGUGUUCAGCCCUGCUCGAGGAUGCCAAGCACGCUGAAGAUAGAGUCCAAUUAGAGUGUGAGGAGCGCCUAAGGGAGUACAAGGAGUCGGCAGAGCUGAAAAAGGAGAUUGAGCAGGCCUGUGAAGCUCUUCUCCAAAGUUACAAGGACUCUUCUGAGUUAAAGGCGAAGAUAGCUGAGGCCUACGAGGCGCGACUUGCAAAAUUCAAAGCCUCUGACGAGAUGAAAAAUGCAAUCUGGCAUAAGGGCUUCCGCAUGUUCGUCUCCAGUUUCAAUCGGGGCUUGAGGGAAGCCAGGCAUGCCCUUUCCACCCCGCUAGCGCAACUCCGAGCUCUUGAGAUAGACUCUGAUGGCGAGGAGGUGCAUUAUGGGGAGGAUGACAGACCCUUUCCCAAAGGAGUUCCUCACAUUGCAACUGAGUCUCUUGAAGAGGGUACCGAGCUUAAGGAGGGAGAUGGGCAGGAGACCGCUGGGCCUGAAGAGGAAGGUGUCGAGUCUCUGAGGGAAUAUGCUGGACCUCAAGAGGGAGGUGCUGGGAGUGAGAUAGUGCCCUAUGUGGGCCCUGGGGCCCAGAGCAAAAUACUGGCCCUCCCCAGACUAGUAGUGUAAAUGAUGAUGUAAAUAAUGAAGCUCCUAGGAAUGUAAGUCCUAUGCGGACAAUUUUUCCCCCCAUAGUAUUAGAUGAUUAGGUGAAAUUGUAACUUCCUUUCUUUUCAAUUAAUGAAAUAUAGCUUUCAUUUGUGUUUAUGCUUUGAAUUAUUUUCGCUUUUCUUUAUCUUUCUGAUUCAAUUGAGCCACUUAAUCCAUCCAAGACUUAAUCUAUUUUCUCCACUUGUAAAUAUUAUCCGAGCUGGGUUAUCCUCAAGAAACCUUCCAAUAAUAUGCUUAUUCAAUAAUCUUUUAAAGGGUUAAGUUAUACUGGAUUGGUCAGCUCUAUCACUAUCCUUUCACCCUGUGGACCCAUCCGGGCUGGAAUUUUAGUGGCUGACUAUACUUUUAUUUCGUGAAUUUCUUUAAUCUAAUUAAGACAAUCUUGUUAAUAAUUGUGAGCUCGUGUGCACAACUUAUUAUGCAAUUAAAGCAAGUCAAAUCAUGUACCUUCUUAGCAUAUCAAGCCUAACUCCCAUGUUUUGUUCUCCGUCCUGCGUUGAGUGGAACUGAGGCUGUGGUUUUACUCGCUGCUUUGUGCCUUCGAUUUAUUCUGCCUGGGUCAGAGAGGAUUUGUAACCCCUAUUCUGCCAUUUGCCUUCCCCAAGCCUUGAUUAUUCUUUCGCUUGGUUCUUUCGAGCUCAAAUCUGUGUAUCUCAGCUCGGGAUUGUGGUGCCAGGGGCAUUUAGGGAGCCCGGUCACCUACCUCGUUGAGGUCUUGCGCAAGAUUCAGGCUCUUUGGCCUUACUGUCGCUUCAUCAUCUCAGCCGGUUUUGUGGUGCCAGGGGCGCUUGGGGAGCCCGGUCGCAUACCUCGCUGAGGUCUUGCGCAAGAUUCAGGCACUGUGGCCUUACUGUCGCUUCGUCAUCUCAGCCGGUGUUGUGGUGCCGGGGGCACUUGGGGAGCCAGGUCACCUACCUUACUGAGGUCUUGAACGAGAUUCAGGCACUGUGGCCUUACUGUCGCUUCAUCAUCUCAGUCGGUUUUGUGGUGCCGGAGGCGCUUGGGGAGCCCGGUCACCUACCUCACUGAGGUCUUGAAUGAGAUUCAGGCACUGUGGCCUUACUGUCGCUUCAUCAUCUCAGCCGGUUUUGUGGUACCGGGGGUGCUUGGGGAGCCCGGUCACCUACCUCACUGAGGUCUUGAACGAGAUUCAGGCACUGUGGCCUUACUGUCGCUUCAUCAUCUCAGCUGGUUUUGUGGUGCCGGGGGGGGCUUGGGGAGCCCGGUCACCUACCUCGCUGAGGUCUUGAGCCUUUAUGCCUAUUUUCUUUUUCUUUUUCGUUUCUUUCAAUGGAAGCAAUGUAAGUUAUGGCAAAUAACAAAUUUGAUGAUAACGUUUACUUUUAUUUCCAUGCUUCAAAAUACAAUUAAUUCUCUUACAUUUGGUAACAUCUUAAGGGAAGUACCUUUUCAAAUAUUGGAUAUUCCAAGCAUGAGGCUCAGGGUUUCCCUGCAUGUCCUCGAUUCGAUACACUCCUGGUUUGACCACUUUUAUUAUUCUGAAAGGACCCUCUCAGGUCGGCGCCAGCUUUUCUACUGCCGCUCUCUUUCCAGUAGCUUCCAGAUUUCUCAGGGCCAGAUCUUCUACCUUCAGGCUUCUUUCUCUGACCCUUUGAUUGUAGUAACGAGCCGCUCUUUGUUGAUAAGCAGUUGUACGGACUUGAGCUUCCUCUCUGACUUCUUCUAAGGCAUCCAGGUUACUUCUCAGUUUAUCACUAUUGGCGUUCUCGUCAUUGGACUGGACUCGAUGUAUAGGGACUUGUAGCUCGAUUGGAACUACGGCCUCAGUGCCAAAUGCAAGCGCGAAAGGUGUCUCUUUGGUUGACGCCCUGGGCGCAGUUCUGAAUGCCCAUAAAAUACUGUUGAGCUCAUCUGCCCAAUUUCCCUUUGCUCCGUCCAAUCGCUUUUUCAGCCCUUGGAGAAUAGCUCUGUUGGUGAUCUCUGUUUGGCCGUUGGUUUGGGGAUGGGCCACCGAGGAGAAUUUAUGCCAUAUGCCCAUAUUUCUUGUAAAUUCUCUGAAGGCGCUGCAGUCAAAUUGCCUGCCAUUGUCUGAGAUGAGUACCCUCGGUAUUCCAAACCUACAGAUGAUGCUAUCCCAGACAAAGUCUAUCAUUUUUCUUGCUGUGAUAGUAGGGACUGUCUCUGCUUCUGGCCACUUCGAAAAGUAUUCCACAGCCACUAUCACAAACUUCUUCUGCCCAGUGGUCUUGGGAAAAGGUCCCAGGAUAUCUAUGCCCCACUGAGAGAAUGACCAUGGGCUGGAUAUGCUGGAUUGAGGUGUGGCUGGCACGUUAAUGGAGUUGGCAAAUCUCUGGCAUACAUCGCAUCUUCGGACAAACUCUUCAGCCUCCUUUUUAACAGUGGGCCAGUAAUACCCUUGCCUGAAUAUUUUAUUUGCCAACGUCACUGCCCCCUCAUGGGCUCCGCAUAUCCCUCGGUGUAUUUCUUCCAUCACCCUUAUAGCCUCUUCCAGAUUCACGCAUCGAAGCCAUGAGGUAGAUUUCCCUCUUCUGUAUAGGGUUUGUAAUACCCGGCUAGACCCCGGCAUCGAAAUUUCCACUUUCCAGCGGAUUCUCCGUUGGAGUCCAGGAUUCAGGAAUGUUGGAGUCUUCCCCAAGGGUAGAACAUAGGUGUUUUUAAAAUAUUUUUGCAUGUUUUAUUGUAUUGAGUAAAGAAAAUUGAGUUUUGAAAAGGAAAAGUUUAAGGAGGCAAAUGCCAGGUUCGGCCGCCGAAGGUGAAGUUCGGCCGCCGAACGUUGCAUGGUUUCGCAUGCAGUUUUGGCCGCCGAAGGAGAGGCGGUUGGCCACCUAUAAAAGCCAUUUGACCGAAAAUGGAGGGUGUUGAAGCUCUCUGUUUUUGGUCAAAGGUAGGUUUUUGCUCUCCUUAGUAUGUUUUCAUAAGAUUUCUUCAAAUCUUGCAUGUUUUGAUGUGUUUUAACUUGGUUAUAGAGUGUUGAGCAAAGAAAGCAAGUUUGAGGAACUUGGAGACUUUGGAUCGUUUUCCACCACAUCUCCACGUUAGGACCAUCGAUCCUCUCGUUCUUCAAGAGGUAAGCAUGGAUCCUCACCUCCCCUUAUGUUUUAAGCAGGUUUUAAAAAGUUUGAGAGAGUUUUAUGGGAUGGUUUUUAGUAGAGCCAUAAGUUGAGCAUAUGUUGAUCAUAUGUGUUUUGUUGAUGUUUGAAGUUGUUUGUGGGGUUUGAACUAGUUGUGAGGCCCCUUUAUGUUUGGUAUAUGGUUUAUGUAAGUUGUUGAGAGUUGGCAUGCAUGUUUUGGGUGUGUUGUUGGUUUUUGGAGGCUGGAAGCAUGAGUUUGGAACAGGUUCUGCCUGUCUGAGAAACUCAGGUUCGGCCGCCGAAGCAAGGUUCGGCCGCUGAACCCCUUAGGAAGGCUGUUUUGGCCGCCUAACCUUGCCCCCAAAAGUUGGGACUUUCGUCUCUGGAGGGGAGGUUCGGCCGCCGAACAUACCGCCGAAGGUGGGUGACUUUCGGCUCUGGAAAGUAUUUCAGCCCCCGAACCUUGCCCCUGAAAGUUUAGACUUUCGGAUCUGGAAGGGACUUUCGGCCGUCGAAAGUGCCCGAGUUUCGUCUCUGAAGAGGGGAUUCGGCCGCCGAACUUGCCGCCGAAAGACCCCUGCCCAGCUUUUCUUUGCCCAUUUUUCCAUGCAUGCUUCUGAUGUUUUAGAGGGGUUUUGGGGAGAUGUUCAGAGUUACGUUAGUGUAUGUUUGGUCCUCAUUUUGAGUCCACCUGUGUAGGUGCGGACCCGAGGAACCAAGGAGGCCCCCAGAGUUAGAGUUACAGAGACUGGUCAGCAGUUGAUCAGAGGUGAGUGGAACAGAACUAUGAUUUAAAAUUAAUGAAUGGUUUAGCAUAAUCCAUGCAUCAUAACUGCCAUGUUUAUGAUAGGUUGUUAUGCAUUGCAUUAGUAUUCACAAAGAUGUACAUUGCAUUAUUACGUGAAUGUGGGACAGACACAGAGUAGGACCCAUUAGCCCUCUGAGUACUAUGUAACGAAGUCCUGUGGUGCCCCUUUGAGGGCCGGACAAUGAGCUGAGGGAUUUUUGGGUCAGUCCGUCCGUGAUGUGAGUUACUUGUGUUGUGAUGCAUUUUCAUGAUGGCAUGUUUUAAAUGUUUUAUUAUUCUACUCACUGGGCUCGAGUAGCUCACCCCUCUCCCUAACCCCAUGUUUUCAGAGCCUCAGAGAAGCGAAAGAGAGAGCAAGGGUAAAGGCAUAUGCAAUAGUAUAGAGUAGUGGACAUGAUGUACAAAGAUGAUGUACAGUAUAGAGAUAAUGUAUUAGUUAUGUAAUGUAAAAGAGUUAUAGUAUUAUGCUUGGCCCCAGUGUAUGCUAAUGUCAUGUUGUACAUGAUCAGUGUAUGAUUUAUGUUUUAUGUUGAUCCAGACUUAAGAAUGAGAACUCCAGUGAGGGGGUUGUUUUGCUCACAGUUUCUGUAUGGUACCACAGUAGGUAUCACUUUCAUAGUGCAUACAGAAUAUAUACAGAUUAAGUCUGGUAUGUAUGAAAAGUUCAAAAUUUUUAUGGAAAUGAAUGAUCAGGUAUGGGAUUAUCAGGUACUCAGAGUUCAUAGUAGGCUUGCUACGGGUCCCGGCGGCCUUAAAACGAUCUGGAUCCUAGCGCCGGUAGCGGUCCGGUUUUCGAGCUGUUACAGGGUCCCUCUCACUGCUUGGUAGUUUGCUGCCCGGGCCUCAAUCUUCUUUGCCUUGGCUUUAUCCUCGGGAAGUUUUCCUCUUUCCAAAUAUUCGAGGUACGGGAUCAUCCAGUUCUGCCCCUCCUCAACUUCCAUCACGAUGUUUGCUUUAUCGAAGGUGGGAAUGUUAACAUGCUGUAUGUACACCUCAUCUGGGAGCUGCUCCAGCUCUUCCCUAGACAAUCGGCUAAGCAAGUCCGCUUCUUCAUUCUCUUCCCGAGGUAUUCGCUGGUAUUUGACCAUGAUCCCUUGACUCUUGAGCUCGGCUUCUAUGUCCUUUACCUUCGCCAGGUAAUUCAGCAUAGUAGGGUCUCUGGCCUGAUAUGCCCCUGUUAUCUGGUUGACCACUAAUUGGGAAUCGCUAUUCACCUCGAGAUCGGUUUCUCCUACCUCCAUUGCUACCAGCAUCCCGUUUAUUAGGGCCUCAUAUUUCGCUACAUUAUUGGAGGCACUGAACUCUAGGCGUAAGGCGUAACAAACUUUGAACCCUUCAGGUCCCUUCAGCAUUAUUCCUGCACCGCUGCCCCUAGCACCGGAUGCUCCAUCCAUAUACAACUUCCAGCCGAAAUCUCGUGGGGGCUGCCUCUCUCUCUCGCCUUGCACUGUUUCUGAGGGUGUUACACCCAAUUCUACUUGUUUCUCACUGAAAGAACACUCUGCUAUGAAGUCAGCGAGGGCUUGAGACUUUAUAGCAGUGCGAGGUCGGUAUUCCAAAUAAUACGGGCUGAUCUCGAUGGACCAAGCAAGCAUCCGACCUGAGGUUUCCGGUCUGUGGAGAAUCUUCUUUAGCGGCUGGUCUGUCAUCACUACUCCUUGAUGGCUUUCUAGAUAAACUCUAAAUUUUCUGACCGCCAACAACAAAGCGUACGCUAUUUUCUCAAUGUUUAGGUAUCUUACUUUGGCAUCUUUCAGCACUUUGCUGACAUAGAAAACUAGUUUUUGUUCUCCUCCUUCCACUCUCACCAGUACGGCACUAACAGCUUGCUCUGAGGCUGAUAAGUAGAUCAAGAGCUCUUCCCAUUCCAGUGGGCUACUGAGCACAUGUGGCGAGCUAAGAUAGCGUUUGAGUUCUUCGAAGGCUUUUCGACAGUCCUCUGUCCAUUCAAAGUUCGAAACUUUUCUCAACUUCUUAAAAAACGGCAAGCAUCUUUCAGCCGACCUUGACAUAAAGCGAUUGAGCGCUACUACCUUUCCAGAAAGUCUUUGGACAUCCCUCACGCAGGUCGGCUCAGGCAUUUUUAAGAUAGCUUCUACCUUCUCUGGAUUGGGCUCAAUGCCUUUUCCACUCAUCAUGUAUCCCAAGAACUUCCCUCCCCUGAUGAAGAAAGCACAUUUAGCCGGGUUCAGCCUCAUUCUAUAUUGCUCCAGUACUUCAAACACCUCCCUCAAGUCUGUUAAGUGUUGUUGAAAGGUCAGACUCUUCACCACCAUAUCAUCCACAUAUACUUCGACAUUCCUGCCGAUCUGAUCUUUGAAGAUUUUGUUCAUCAAUCUUUGAUAUGUUGCCCCGGCAUUCUUCAGCCCGAAAAGUAUGGCCUUAUAGCAGUAGGUUCUGUCUUCUAUUAUGAACGAGGUCUUUUCUUCAUCCGACCUGUCCAUUGAAAUUUGGUGGUAACCGGACAUUGCAUCCAAAGACGACAUGUAAUCAAAACCGGCCGUGAAGUCGAUCAUUUUAUUAAUAUCAGGGAGGGGAUAACAAUCUUUGGGACAUGCCUGAUUCAGGUCAGUAAAGUCUAUACACAUCCUAUAUUUGCCAUUGGCUUUUUUUACUAAUACAGGAUUUGCUAGCCAUUGGGGGUACAUCACUUCCCUGAUAAACCCUGCCUCCUCUAGCUUUUGCACCUCCUCCCUGGUGGCCUACUGUUUCUCUCUUCCCACCACCCUCUUCUUCUGUUUCACCGGCCUGGCUUAUGGGAGAACGUUCAGCUUGUGAGUCAUCACCUCCGGGUCUAUCCCGGGCAUGUCAGACGGCUUCCAGGCGAAGCUUGACGCAUAACCUCGGAUCAGGGCCAUUACUUCAGUUUUCUGUUCCUUAGUUAGGCCAGCGUUAAGGCUGAAAACCUCGUCUGUCUCUACUUCUGAUAGGGGGAAGGUUUCCAGCUCUCCAACCGGCUCUGUUUUGGCCUCUUUCUUCUCAUCUCGGACCUCCAGGACCUCUGAGUCAAACUUUUCCCCUGCCGAGCUCGGCUCUGAUACCGUGGCCAAGUACACUGCUCUCGCCUCUUCCUGACUUCCUUUGACUACUCCCACCCCUGCUUCUGUCGGGAACUUCAUGGCCAAGUACCUUAUGCUGGUUACAACUUCAAAGUCAUACAGUACUGGCCUUUCCAGUAUUGCAUUGUAGUUUAGGGGAAGUUUCACCACCAGGAACACCAUGUAGUGCGUCCGAGCCAAAGGUGCUUCUCCGAGAGUGAGAGCCAGCUUCACCUUUCCUUCUACAGGUACUGGGACUACUCUGAUCCCCUUCACCGGGGCCUGAUCCCGAACCAGUUGUUCUUCAGGGAUUCUCAUUUGUUGGAAGACCCUGUAUAGCAACAAGUUCACCUUGCUACCAUUGUCGAUGAGAACCUUCCUGACCUGGUAGUUAUGGAUGACGGCCUCGAUAACAAGAGCGUCGUCGUGAGGCAUCUGAACGCCCUGGGCAUCCUUCAGAUAGAAGGAGAUGGUCACUGGAGAAUGUUCAACUACCUGCAUGACCUCGGCACUGCUACCCUCCCCGUCUCAGCUUCUCUUUUUUCCUCUUCGGCUCAUCCGAUCUCCAGUUCCCCCCACAAUCAUGUUGAUGGUUCCGCUGGAACCAUCAUUCACCGGUCUUGCUCCCACCCUCCGGGGUCUCUCUGCUGUAGGGUUAGGCUGAGGCCUUUCUCCCUCUGGUUUUUUUAUGAAAUUUCUGAGGUGUCCCCUCUUUAUCAACCUCUCAAUUUCGCUGAUCAGCUGAUAGCAGUUGUUGGUGUCAUGGCCGUGUGUACGAUGAUACUGACAGUAUUUGUCAGGAUCCCGCUGGCUCGCCUCGGCCCUCAUUGGUUUCAGCCAUUGGAGGAACUCCUUGUUCUGGACUGCCAUGAGCACUUCGGCUCUGGAGGCAUUGAGUGGUGUCAGGUUCUUUGGGACCCGCGGGGGGAAUGUUCUUUGUUCUGGAACCCGAGGGGGGAGGGGUCCUUGAUCCCUUUGGUCCUAGGGCCGUCUGUACGGCUCAGGUCUUUUGUUUUGCUUUUUAUCAUGCCUCUCUGGCCUCCUUUCUUUCGGGGCUUUUCCCCUGUCUGCUGACUCCUUAGCAAAUCUGCUUGUUACCAAGGCAUCAUCCUGCCUUAUGUACUUCUGUGCCCUCUUCAUCAGUUCUACCAGCGAGGUGGGAGGCUUCCUACUCAAUGAGCCAAAGGACUCUGGGGAGGUCGUCCCCUUCUGCAUGGCCUCCACCGCUCUGCCCUCGUCCAGCUCGGGGAUUUGCAAAGCCUCCGUAUUGAAACGGGCGACAUACUCCCUUAAAAACUCAUUCCUCCUCUGCCUGACUGUCUCCAGGUAGCUCGUCUUUCUGUCCGCUGGUACUCCAGCGAUGAACCGGAUGAUGAAGAUAUUGGCCAAAUCUCCAAAACUUCUGAUACUUCCAGCCUCUAGACUGUUAAACCACGCUCGUGUCAGGGGCCCGUGAGCGUCGUGGGGAAUAUCUUGCACAUCAAGGCAUCCGAUAGAGUCUGCAGCUCCAUGAAAGUCUUAUAGUUAAGGAUGUGCUCCCUUGGGUUUUCGGUUCCGUCAUAGGCUGCCAUGGGUGGCAUCAUAAACUUCUUGGGGAUGGUCUCCUGCUGCACCCAUUUCGAGAAAGGUGAAGAGGUGGGCAAGAGAGCUUGGUUGUGAUCCUUCACCCCAAACUCAAUCAGGAGUUGCUCCUUCAUUUUCUGCAGCUUUUGAUCCACACCCUCUUAUUCUUGUCUGGGCCGCUUCUCCAGGCGAUAUUCUUCUUCUUGCUCUUCAUCUUCUGUCCUCCUAGUUGUCCUGGCAGAGUAACUUUCUGCCUCAUCAUGUUCUAUCAACUCCCUUACCCUUCUUCCCCAGAUUCUAGCCUCCGGCUCUUCCUCUUCGCCUGGCCUCCUCCCCCUUUCUCUAGUUUCUCUGCUGUUUGUUUGAGGGUGGUUAAAGGUAGGCUGGGGUUCAUUGGUGCGGGGUUCUUCUACCACAGGCAACAUAUUCACCGGGGUAUUGAGGCCCCUCUGCUGCAUAAUUUGCCCUAGCCAAUGGGCAGUGUUUUGUAACUGGAGAGCCAUGGCUUGGAGGUCCUGGUUGGAUAAGGUGGUUUCGGGUGUAUUCCCUGCUAAGCUCGGUGAGGGAUUGAAAGGGAUUGGUGUUUGGUUAUUGGGAGUUGUGGGACUGGAAAAAGAGAACUGUUGCCCCUCCUGGGCGGAGCUCAGGUCAUUGGGAGUGUUGACGAUGUUGUUUUCGUUAUGGUUGGCCAUUGUGGAUCUCAGUGAGUUUUGUAAGAGUGGAACUCUGGUGAUGAAAAAAUCUCCUUCGUUCCCACAGAAAGCGCCAAUUGAUGAUCUGAGAUCCAUAAAAUAGGGUUUUACAAUGGUUGAGUAAGAUUGGUCUGAGAGGAGGGUGCUCCUCUCCUUUUAUUCUUUUUCUUGGUCUGUCAGUGAUGUGUAAUGGCCUCACUGCCAUUGGGCUACCUGUCUCUGCCAUACGGAUACGGUCGUACGAAGAUAUCAGACAUCUGCUCCAUGCGUAACGGCCAUUUAAUUCUCCUUUCUAGCAUGCGGGUUAACCGAGCAAUUCGGGGCUAGGCCAGUGAUCCUCACUUUGCUAAGCUUUCAGGCCGGACUCGGAGAGAGAAAGCUGGAUCCUGAGAAAAGUUCGACCUCAAGGAUGAAUGGGCCGGGUCUUCUCAUUUGUGGGAUUCCGCGGGUCCUGGGCCAGCCCUGUCACUGUGGACUCGGCCUCUUACCAGGGUAACGAAACCCGGCGGUCAUCAAAAACUAAAACCAUAUUUAUACUAAAAUUAGUUUAAAGUUGAAGUGAAAUCCGCUGCUAUAUUUUAAAAUUUAAAUAAUGAUAUAUUUUUAUUGAAGUCGUAAAAUUAUUAUCUUACUAUUAAAUUAACAAUUUGAUAGUAAAAAUUCAUUAUAUAUAAUAUAUUGUAAUAAAAAUUAUUUUAUAUUUAAUAAAAUCAUAACUUUAAAUGUAUUUUUUAUAUAUCUUGAAAAGAAAAAUAAAUUGAUACUUUAUGCUUAACCAUAAAUUUAUAUAUAGUUGUUUUUACACGGUUAUUAUUGAUUGAUGGCUAAAUCUAGAAUAUAUAAGACACCUAUUUAAAUUUAUAUUUAUAUUUUACAGCGUGAUUAUAAUUAAAAAUAUAUUUAUUUUAUAAAAAAAUAUUUAUUAUAUUUUUUGGUAUUUGGACACUUAAAUAAAUUAGUUAAUAUAUAAAUUUUAUUGGUCAAAAUAAAAAUUAAAAAUGACUUUUUUUUCAAUAAAAUAAGUUAUUUUAUGCCAUUUAAAAUCUUAUUAAAUAAACUUGUUAUAUAUUUAAUUUUUUAAAUUAAAAUGUAAAAAUAAAAAAAUUUAUUUUAAAUACUUUUUUAUUUAUGAAAAAUAAUUUGUAUUUAAAAAAUAUUUUUUAUAAAAUAAAUUAUUUUUUAUUAUUUAAUUUUAAUUUUAAAAAAUAAAAUAUACUGAUAAAUUUAUAUAAAAAGAUUUUGAUAAGAUUUUCAAAAUAUAUAUAAAAAAAUAUUUGACUAUGAAAAUAUUUUUUAUUGAUUAAUUUUUUUAAAUAUUUUAAACAUUAAAAUAUAUAUAAAAUAUUUUUUUGAAAAAAUAUUUUUCGUCAAAUAAAUAAAGUCUUCUUGAAAAAUAAUUUUUAUAAAAAAUAUUUGAUAUGAAAAUUAUUUUUUCAAAUAAAAAAUAGAGUGGAAGAGUUUUUUUUCAAGUCUUAUUUAUAUAUUAAAAAAAAAGUUAAACAAUAUAAGAAAAAAAGUUUGGUGCUUUUGUUAAUUAUAAACAUAUUUUUAUUUUUGUCAAUAUGUAUGUUUUAAUUUUAGAUACUAGUCAAAAUUGAAAAUUUGAACGGCUGAUAUGGCUAAUGUAAUAUUGAUAAUACUGUUUAACAUAUAAUUUGCUCAUGUGCCACCAAGUAUAACAAUAAGAAAAUGAAAAUUUUUAUAUAGACCUUAUUUAUUAUAAAUUUAAUAUAUAUAAACGUAAGUCUCAUAUAUUUUUUAUGAAAAAAAUUCACAUUUAAGUAUAUUGUUUAUUUUUAAUUAUUAGAUUUAUAACAUAUUAUCCAUCACAAUUAAAAUAAUAAUAAUAUAAUAAGUUAUAUUAGAAGACCUAAUUUUUUUAAUUUUAACCAGAAGCUAAAAAUUGAUAUAAAAUUUUCAAAUUAUGUUAGAAUCCACAAAAUUAAAAGAAUUAAUUAAAAUUGAAAAUAAUGAAAAGUUUUUUGUUGUUAAAAAAAGAGUUCAAUUGGCUUCAAUAAAAUAAAAGGAUUUCCCAUAUUGAAGUUUCAAAUUGUUAAUUAUUUUAAAAUUAUUGAAGAGAAAUUAAUUAUUAUAAUCUCAGUUAAUUUUAUCUUGUUUAAAAAAAUAUUUCAAAAUAUUUAUGAAUAUUUAAUAAAAUUUAAUAUAUUUAAUAUAGAUAUAAUUAAAAAAUUAAUAAAAAUUUUAUAUUUUUUAUUAUAUAUAAAAAAAUGAAUCGGACAAAAAAAUUAUAAGACAGACUAAAUUUAAAAUUUCAUUCCCUUUAUACUUUUGAGAAAAAAAAAAAAAAAACAUUAAUGGAAUGUGCAAUGCGGGUCUCUUGAUCGAAAAGGAGAGGCCGACGACUCGGUUGGUUCCAAUGGACUCAUACCGGGCCUAGGCUAGGGUCAAUGAUAUCAGAAUAGAAUUGAAACUAAAUAACAAAAAUCUACCGAGUAAAAUAAGGUUGCCAAUUAAACUAAUAGCCGACUUUGCCGACUUGAAAAGCUAUAUAUCAAGCAUGUUUGAAACGCGUAUGCCAUUCAGAUUUGAGAACGCGUAAAAACUACGAGGAAGAUUCCGUUUCUCCUCUUUUCUCUUCUCCUACCCAUCUCCUUUUUCUCGAUGUCUGCGGCUCUCCUUUGCCACUGACGUGCCUCUGUAUCUCUCUGCUCUGCCACUCCGGUAUGGUAUUUCGGUUCUUGUGUCUUGUCAAGGACAGGCUGCCGAAACCACAGAUUUCGUAAUCUAGGGUUUUCAAUUUUGAUUGUUUCGUUGAAUCAAUUGCUUUUUUUGCCCCUCUUUCUGCUAAUCGCCGGUUUUUGUUGAAUAUUGCAGCUGAUUAUAUUUUUGUGUUUCCUGAAUCUAAUUUGUAACUAUCUUGCUGAUAUCUAGAGAUCGGUUUUAUUAGGAUUGAUCAUUAAAAAAGGGGGAGGGCAUAUUUGAUUUUUUUUUUUUGGGGUUAGGGUUUGGAUUUCUUGGUUGUGUGCAUUAUACAAUUGAGCUUGAAUUUUGAUUGAGAAGAAGUUGUGGUUCUUAUUAAUAUGGCAGCAGGGCGGAUCGACGUUUCGAGGAGAAGGGUUUAUGAUGGUUACUCCAAUAAGUACUUUGAUCACUAUAGGAAAGGUGCUCGUGGCGUGGAUUUGAAUCGUGCUGUUGAGCAUGGUGUGGUAUACAAGAACGGGUACCCUAUUUCCUCAAAUGCGCGGAAUCUUUGUGUUCAAAGAAGUGGGCUUAGUUGCAGAGAUGAAGAGAGAGAGUUGGCUGAUUUGCAAAGUAGAACUGGCCUUGAUCAUUCCUCAAGGUUGGAGGACGGUGAGAUACCCAAGUCUGAUGAUGGAAUUCAGAUGCCUCCAGCCAAGAAAAGGAAAUUCUCCCCCAUUAUAUGGGACAUAGAGGACAAAGUAGCGACAAAAAUUAGAGCUGUCCCAACAAGUACUACCUCAUCUACAUUUUCUUCUUCACACGGGACUUGCAGUCGGGGACCGAAAAUUGUUCUAGAUGCAGGUAUUACAAAACAUGCUUCCCAGGAAAACCAGCAUAUAGGAUUGGAGAGUGUGUCAGAUAAGCCUUGUGAGACAGCAGGAUUGGUAGAUACUAAUGGAACCGAGUCCGAGUCUCUGGCAAAAUUGUCUCCUUCAUUUCCUCGAGAGAAGCACAGGGAUGAUAGCCAAGAACAAGGUGAAGGCGAGGAGGAGGAGUUUGCUGAAGCACGGAACAUAUCCAUGUCACGUUGGGCCUCUGACAGCGAUUCUCCAAAAGAUGCAAAUUUGUCUGAUGAUGAAGGCAUACCUGGAGAAAAUACACACAGAAAGGAGUUCAGUGCUGAGAGAAUGGAGUGUCAUAGGGAGGCUUUGGUUAUAGAUGGAUCAAGAUCAUCUGGAUUCAGUGAAAGAUAUUGCAGUUCGGGGGAAGAUGGUGAUGUUGUAAGCAAGUUGAAAAAUGUUGGUCCCGUGAAUGGUGAUGGGUUCCAGGGUGAAAAUGACAAUUUUAUCCAGAUCGAUGAUAUUUCGAGUCAUGUUGAAGAGUCUAUAGCUUCUACCCAAAGAGGCCUGAAUAUGCUUCAGGGUUGUAGAAGUGUGUACGAAUACGAGAAACUUCAUGAAAUUAAUGAAGGUACAUAUGGUAAAGUGUACAAAGCAAUUGAUAAGAGGACCGGGGAACCUGUGGCAUUGAAAAAAGUGAAGAUGGAUGUAGGAGGAGACAGGAACUUAGAAGAAUAUGGCUUCCCUUUAUCCUCACUGAGAGAAAUUAACAUUCUUUCAUCUUUUUAUCACCCCUCAAUUGUGAAUGUUAAAGAAGUUGUCAUGGGCAGCCUUGAUAGUGUUUUUAUGGUGAUGGAAUAUAUGGAACAUGAUCUCAAAGGGCUUAUGCAGAAAAUGAAACAGCCUUUUAGUACCAGUGAAGUAAAAUGUUUAAUGCUACAGUUGUUGGAAGGUGUAGAUUAUCUUCACGAUAACUGGGUGCUUCAUAGGGAUUUGAAGACAUCAAACCUCCUUCUGAACAAUCAAGGGGAAUUGAAAAUAUGCGACUUCGGGAUGUCACGCCAGUAUGGGAGCCCAUUGAAGCCUUAUACAUCUCUUGUGGUUACUUUGUGGUACAGGUGAGCAGCAAUGACAUGAUUAUUCAGUAAAUGUGAUGUUUUAUCUAUCUAAUUAUUUUAUUUGCAUCUCCUUCCCACCUCCCCACCCCUCACCCCUUUCCUGAUUGGUGCAUUAGUUUAUUCUUGGUUUCCAUCUUUGUUUCUGCCACUAUAGUCAAAUGUCGACUGUGUGAUGUCAUAUAUGCAAUAUUACUGAAUACGAGAAAGCCUGAUGUAUACUCAUCACCUAGAUGAUAUCUAUGAUAUUGAAAUGGGUUUGAAAUUUGGUGGUUGAUGGGGGGAUGGUUCUUCAAUAUACACUAUCUUCCUGGAAAUGUCAACUGCAAGAGUUCAUGGAUGCAAACAAAACCUAGAUUUUUUAGAAGGGUCAAGUUCACCAAGUAUGCUUCUCUCUCUCUCACAAGAGACCUGAAGUCCAACGUUUUAUGGUAGAACUAGGCAGGUUGUCUCCAUGCACGAGUAUGAUCAAUAAUUUCUGUUGAAGGAAUACUAUUCUUGUGUUUUCAACUUCUAAUUGUUGGUGAGUGCUAGAUUUUAAUCUAUCGUUUUGUGCUGCUUGGGAGUUCAGGUCGAAGUUAGAAGGUCUGUGUGCAUCAUACCCAAUUGUCUGGUCUAUCUGUUACCAGUUCUUACUUGUGUUGUGCUCAAUUUAUUAGUUUCUUGCUAUUUGGUCUCUUACAGUAGUGUGCAUGUAAUAGUAUAGUAUGAAAUUCCUACAUUAGAAGUAAAUACAAUUCUGUAAUGUGUACAUUGCAGGGCACCUGAGCUUCUGCUGGGAGCAAAACAAUAUUCAACAGCAAUUGACAUGUGGUCUGUGGGUUGCAUAAUGGCUGAACUAUUGACAAAGGAACCCCUGUUCAAGGGAAAAGGUGAAAUCGAUCAGCUUGGCAAGGUAAUAAUCAGCACUUAUGUUUCUUGUUAUACACUGUUUUCUUAUCCUUUUAAGUGGUAAAAUUUUGGCAAAACAAUAAUUGCAGAUAUUUAGAAUUCUUGGGACGCCAAGUGAGACAAUUUGGCCUGGAUUUUCCAAAUUGCCGGGGGCUAAAGCAAAUUUUGUUCAGCAGCCGUGAGUAUCAACUUAUGCCACACUGUUCUUUAGUUUCUGCAAUUUGUCCAUUCGCUAUUAAUCUUAUUUGGACUCUUCGCCGUGUUCUUUUAAUAGUUUGCUACCUUUUUCAGUUAUAAUCUGUUGCGCAAGAAGUUUCCAGCCACAUCUUUCACAGGAUCUCCAGUUCUCUCUGAUUUGGGAUUUGACUUGUUGAACAAGCUUCUAACAUAUGAUCCAGAAAAGGUAUCGCCAUGUCUGCUGUAAUUAAAUUAUGUACCAUUUCAAAUUGUGUGAUUGUUAUACUUAUCAAUAUUGUUGCCAAUGCAGCGAAUAACAGCUGAUGCUGCCCUCAACCAUCCUUGGUUUCAUGAGGUUCCUCUGCCAAAAUCUAAAGAAUUCAUGCCUACUUUUCCUCCUCAGUAUGUGAAGAAAAGAUAGAAGCCAGACAGCUAGAAGCAUCCUACCGUAUCAGAGGAUGGGUAGGGAUUCUUCUCUUAGGGUGUCUGAGAAGCUCAGAAUUUCUCCGGAGGAGAUUGUCAGGACACGGGGUGUUAUCAGACACAGGUGGAUCAUAUGUUUUGGAAGAACUGUAUAAAAGUCUUCUUGCAGAUGCAUGUUUGUAAUUUUUUUUUUUUUUUUUUUUUCGGUAUACUUGAACUGAAAAUCGUGGCUGUUGACCUUUCUUUUUUGACAUUCAUCUUCGUGUUCAGGAUUGUGUCUUUCAAAAGAAAGAGAUUGAUUCAUAGUUCUAUGGGAGACGUUUCUUUCUUUGUAGUGAUCCUGUAUCCUCCUUGAGCUGUAAGGUCUUGAGGUGUUGACAGAAUUCUUUAGACAUCUGCCUUUCAGUUCUACCUGAGUUGGCUUGAGCUCAAGUUGUAAAUAAUUCAGCUUAGUCAUCUUAAUACUUAAGAAGUUUUAUCUUUAUUUUUUUUAAAAAUUUUUAUUGUCAAGCUGCUGUUUCACUAUUUCUCUUUCCAAUAAUGUUUGUUUGCAAGAGAUUACUAGAUUACUGUUGCAAGACGAGGGAGGAACAUCGAUGAUGUUUUUUCAAAGGUCGGAAAGAAGUGCACCAGGUAAACAAUAUUUGUUUAAUGCUAACCGAGUAUCUGGUACUGCUCUGGUAUGUUAGUGCGAAUCAAUUAUUAUUAUUAUUUUAAAGUGGUUGUGUGGAACUGCAGAGCAUUAAGAAAAGGAGGAGGAGAGAGAGAGAGGGGGGUGGGGGGUGCGUUUUUGUGUCUGUAUAAUGGGGUGUGCUUGUUUUCUGUCUGUAUAAUGUGUUUGCAAGUAUGGUUCUAUUCUACUCUGCUUGUAGUCAUGUUAUCAUCAGUUAGAUAAGCUAGUGCUUGGUAGUAGCUUUAUGGGGUCCAUUAUAAUGGACAAUGCCGGAAAGUUCAAUCCCUCUAUUUAAAUUUUCGCUUUAUUGUGUUCAAGUAGGGUAUCCAUCUAAUUAUCGGCCGGUUGACUAAUUUUUUUUAGAUUUGCAGUUGUGCAUAUGCUUCUUUUGGGUAUAUCUCUUCUCCUCUCGCAUUCUCUCCCCCUCACGAAGAUCAUGCUUGAAAUAUCCAAUCCACUUUCUGGAUUUUUAUCUCCCGCUUCUAUCAUUUCAUUGGGUGUAUCCUUGCAGCUUUGCUGUGUCGAAGUUGAUCAUGCAAAAGGACUAGAUUGAAGCCGUGCUAUUGAUGCGUCAUGUUACUAAUGCAAAGGAGAAGACAAGUUGGGAAUAUCUAAUUUGGCAGAGGGGAUCAUUUUUAAUUUAACUUGCCAUUUUUAUUUGUUUUACCAAACUAACUUGAUGUAAAUCGAUUUUAUUGCCAUCCCAUUUCACGAACAGAAAUAGCAAAGUAAAGGUCAUUAAUUAUAUGUAGUUAUUCUAUUCUUUUAAAAUGGGAAGGAUCUUGAAUUUUCCGGAAUAUCAAAUUCGUCAUGCAUGAGAAUUCUGUAGUUGGGGAUCAAUUAAAUUGGCCGCUUCUGCGACAUAUGCAAACCAUUUUAGUAAGGAUCUUGGUGAGAUUUUGUCCUCCAAUAAAAUCGUGACCGCUUUCGGAGCGAAGCAGAGAAUAUAAAUGCAUGUAUCGUUCUUUGGGAAGUCCCGAUAUUUCUGUUGGAGAGGCAUAUGGGCUGCUCUCUGGCGAUGUCUGAAGCAGUCUAUAUUAUACUCGAAGGAAAGAAGCAGCUGCGUUAUGCUCGAAAUGACGUGCCCAAAGAGAGAGCUGUAGUUAUCUAUGAUGAAUAUAUGUGAUAUAAAAACCACGUCAAAAUUUAAGGAUAACUUCACGGCGCCCACCCCAUAGAAGUGGGGAAGGGUUUCUUUUUGGAAACGAGAGCUUAUGGUCUUCCCAAUCAUUUAAGGACAAGUGAUUUCAAGAAAGAAGAUGUUGGAGAUGAGUUCAACUCUCCAUCCACAAAAAAAGGAGACUAUCGAGUUGGACUGUGUCACGGGCUAAUAUUGUAGCAUUCAUUCAAGACCGGUAGCACUUGAUUUGAAGACAAUUUGAGAAUCAUUCAAUAACCUGUGAUCAAUUUCGAUAGUCAUUAAAAAGUGCACAUUAGAAUUCAUGAGCAAGUUUUUUAUUUUAUUUUAGAGGUAAAAUUGUAACUACACAUUAAUAUCAAUACAAUCAUUAUAAUAAUGAUGACAAACAAGAAGUAUGAACAUAACUCAAAAACUCAUCAAGCUUACCGUGGCUAGUUGAUCAUAAUUUUCACUAGUUUAAUCACUCUCCUUAAAGAGUUCUAGAAAUAAAAUAAUUGAUAGUAGUAUGAAACAUCAAUACGUUUUAAAUGACACGAGCCAGAAUGAAUAAAUAAAAAGGAAUUGAUUCAACAAUUAAUUACUAUUAAUUAAUACUAACUUUUUUUUCAUAUUGUUUUCAGAAAGUUUCAUUGCUAGAAAAUUAUAAAUCAUUGAAAUUCUAAACUCCUGACACUCUCCCAUUUAUGAUGUUGAUGUUUUCGUAGACUUAACUUGUUAGAGGUUUUCAAUCUAUUGUUUGGAUGCUUGAUUUUUUUUCUCAAUUUGACUGACUUUAUAAGGAUCGUUGCUAUUUCUUUAUACAAAAGUUGUUCGCCUGAACACCAGUAUCAAAAGUUUUAUUUUUGAUGGAACUUUUAGCCCGUCGAUUAAAGUAUUAAGAAUCUUCAAUCUUCUGUAAAUGUGAUUUUAAGGUUAGCAUUUCAAUCUUCUUCACGAAUGCAUUUCACAAACUCAUUUGUUUGUUGUAUAUUCCUUUGCUCAUCGCUAUUGACUGCUACUUUUGAGUGAUGAUUACUUUGCAAAAUCUCCAUUGACGAAUGGUUUGUUGCUCCAACUCAUUCAUAUAAGUAAUUGGGUAAAUGGAAACCGACCAACACAGUUGUCAAAUAUCUCCUCAGCUCAAUAUAAUUUUGAUCUACUUGUAAAGAAACCAGUUGAUUCCUCGUCGAAAUGGUGUCUCUGCUGCACAAAUGUCUUGCUCAACUCUAUGUGGCAUUGACUUGCACUCAUUUCCUCCUUCACACAUCUCGUCUUUCCUUCUCUUUAAAACUUCGGCACUCUUUGUUCUUUACUUCUAUUUCUCUAGCAAAUGAUAUAGUUAUUUAUCUACCUGCAUAAGACUCACACCACAUAUAAGAUAUUCAAGACUAUUAAUGUGCGACAAACGCAUAAAAAACUUAUUAGUUAAAAGGUUAUACUCAAAAUAACUAUUACCACAAAUUAUACAAGAAGCAAAUAGUAAUAUUAUAUUGAUGCCACAAUAAUAAGUUAUGGAAAGGUACUCCCUUAUUGGGAAGCCAUCAACGUUGCGGCAUUUCACUACCUCGAUCAAGUACACUUUUCAGCAUCCAUCUUGGUAUUCUUCUUUGUUAUCAUUUUGCUCUCAACUCGAUUGGUUUAUGAUGUUACUUUUCUAGUCAAUUACGUAGGUAAAACUGGACUUGGUUCUAGCAAAAAGCAUAUCACCCAUUCUUUUCACUUUUAAGAAAGCUACAUACUGUAUAUUCUCAAGAUUAAUUAGUGCAAAUCUAUAGAGUCCGUAGCAAAAGGAAUCUUAUUUGUUAUAACACAAUAACAUCCAAAAUAAUUAGUUUUUUAAAAGAACAUAUCAAAAAAUUUCACAUACUAUAUUGCAUUGACACGAGAGAGCCUCCUCUCAUACUUCGUCUCAGAUUUAGGUGUACCACUUAAGAGCUUCGUCUCCAAUCAUCUCUAGCCGUCGUCUUAGAAAUGCUUUGUGGCACUAUUGUCAGAAUUUAUCUCUUUCACUCUUUCAACAUUCAAAAUCUAAUGUGGCCUUUCGUGCAGAUAACACCACAUUAUGCUUGAUUGCUCCAUUAUUGUGUUAUUUGACUCACCAUGUGUUUCCUCACAACCUUUGCCAAAAAUUCACAGUUAACACAUUAUUACCAUUAUGAUGACGUCUAUCACUUUUAUUUGCUCUCCUAUUUAAUGUUUUGGCCCAUUUGUUUUUGAAUGAUUAUUUGUAUGACAUGGAGAAUUGCACUUCUCUUGAACUCCUUGUUAGUAUAACCUACUAACUCUUGGUCAACUUGCUUUACACUAUGUUCCUCCAGAUUUCAACAUUUUUCAUGAAGUUUUAAAAUCUAUCAUGUCUCUUGAACCUAUUAAAAUAAUUCACCUAUUCUUUCAUGAGUCAAAUGUCACAUACUCAUAGUAAAAUUGAAUUUACAUUCUCUCUUCACUAUCUCAUGGCUAUAGGUUGGACAUUUCUGUUCAUAGAAUCUUCCUUUAAUUUUCCAUCACGGUUUAGUAUUGUUGAUUAGACACAAAUAUUAUUCUUAACCUAUCUAUACAACAACAAUUUUCAAUAAUAUUAAAAAAUAAAUUCACCUCCCGAGCACCACACUAAGAUUUAUUUUUCUAUAAUUCCAAUAUCGCCUACUUCAUAGACAUCCAUAUUAGAAUAGUGUCUCUCACCACCACUUUUAGCCUGGCUUAUUUAUUAGGUUUCUCGUAGAAAUUAGCUUGCAAUUUUCGCCAUAGAGAAUUAGUUUAUGUUGUAUCACAUUCAAUGUUGUUGCGCCUUAAUUUUUAAUGUUUUGAUUUCGAGAAUCUUAGAUAGCUUCAAGCUUUAUUGGCUCAUCCUUCCUUGUUGCCGUACCAAAGAUUAUUACUCUCUUUGCAAAAGUCACUAAAAAGAGCAUAUAACACCUAGUCACUAUCCCCUCUCCAAUACAUCUCAAAUGGAGUGUCCAGAACUAAGUCACUUCCUCUCUUUAAAUAAUGCAUGCAGCAGCACCCUGAUCAAUAUGAUUGUUAAAGCUAAAAUGCUCAAAUUUUCUUCUUCUUAGCAUUUUAAUGCGCUUAUUUCAUAAUUUUUAGCAUCAGAUGAACUACCUAGCUUUCUUUAUAGUCUAUCUCAAAUAGAACAUCCACUGAUACAAGUACAUAACUUCUCAACCCUUUUCUUCAAGGCAUUAGAUCUUCUAAUAAAUUUCUUCAAGGCAUUAGAUCUUCUAAUAAAUUUCAUUAUAUUCUUAGCAUGAUUCACCGAUCAUACCUUUGCUUUGAUACCAUCACAGGCUCAUAUUUUAGCACUCAUUCAAGAUCGUGCAACACUUGAUUUAAACGUAUUCAAGCCAAGUCAACCUUAAAAAUCAUUCAAUAAUCUGACUCUAGACAAUAACGAUAACCAGAGUUAUUUCAAUACAAUAGUCACAGGAAAUAAAAACUACAUAUGAGAAUUCAUGAGUUGACUACUUAUUUUAUUUCAGAGGUAAAAUUAUAAUUAUACAUUCGCAUCAAUAUAAUUGCUACAAUAAUCCUCACGUCCCUAGUAAAUAGAAAACUCCGCUUAAAGAGCUUUAAAAACAAAAUGGCCGUUGCGGAAGGAGACAUCAAUAUGUCUCGUAUAAUAGCUCCCAAAAUAAAUAAAUAAAUAAUAAUUAUAAAUAACUUACUCUACACUUAAUUUACUACUAAUUUAUGAUAAUUUUUUCCUCAAUAUUGUUUUGGAGAAAUUUUAUUAUUGAAAAAUUACAGUUUUAGUCCUUAAAACUCUAGGCUCCUGACAGCCUGCAAGUAUGUUGAUGUGUAACCAGAUGAUCCUUCAAUAGCUGAUUUGGGAUUGGACAGCCAAGCUCAAACUUUAGAGGUUAUAAACAUCUUAACUUCAUUGCAAUGCUCUUUGUGCUUGCAAAAAUCAUCUCAUACUAUUGCAUGAUUGUUCAGGAAAUUCCUCAGAGGUGAAUAGAAUAACUGUUAUAAAAUGGAACUGCUGCAAAUUGAAAAUCACAGCAGAAAAUAAUAUUGACAAAGUUUUAAAUGAGUGGAAGACCAUAUAUUACUUUUCACUGUAACUGGGGUUUUAUACAAGAUGAAAUAACAAAUUCUUCUAAAAUCAAGGAAUCAAAUAACAAAAAAAUAAAGUUGAGAUUCUAAUGCUGGAAAUCUGGAAUUCCAGCUAUGUUAUUGAAAAAAUAAUAAACAUAUCUAAUUUGAAAUUCAAAUUAGUUGUUGUAGUCAAAAUGCCAGUACUUCAACACUCCUCCAUGGCAUUUUGAUGACAAACUCCUAUGUUUUUCCUCAGAGCUUCAAAUCUUUCUUUUGGCAAGGACUUUGAGAAUAUAUCAGACAAUUGUUCUUCAGAUGAGCAAUGAACAAGUAACACUUCAUUAGAUUGUUGUACUUCUCUAAGAAAAUGAAACUUGAUCUUGAUGUGCUUGGUUCGCCCNNNNNNNNNNNNNNNNNNNNNNNNNNNNNNNNNNNNNNNNNNNNNNNNNNNNNNNNNNNNNNNNNNNNNNNNNNNNNNNNNNNNNNNNNNNNNNNNNNNNNNNNNNNNNNNNNNNNNNNNNNNNNNNNNNNNNNNNNNNNNNNNNNNNNNNNNNNNNNNNNNNNNNNNNNNNNNNNNNNNNNNNNNNNNNNNNNNNNNNNNNNNNNNNNNNNNNNNNNNNNNNNNNNNNNNNNNNNNNNNNNNNNNNNNNNNNNNNNNNNNNNNNNNNNNNNNNNNNNNNNNNNNNNNNNNNNNNNNNNNNNNNNNNNNNNNNNNNNNNNNNNNNNNNNNNNNNNNNNNNNNNNNNNNNNNNNNNNNNNNNNNNNNNNNNNNNNNNNNNNNNNNNNNNNNNNNNNNNNNNNNNNNNNNNNNNNNNNNNNNNNNNNNNNNNNNNNNNNNNNNNNNNNNNNNNNNNNNNNNNNNNNNNNNNNNNNNNNNNNNNNNNNNNNNNNNNNNNNNNNNNNNNNNNNNNNNNNNNNNNNNNNNNNNNNNNNNNNNNNNNNNNNNNNNNNNNNNNNNNNNNNNNNNNNNNNNNNNNNNNNNNNNNNNNNNNNNNNNNNNNNNNNNNNNNNNNNNNNNNNNNNNNNNNNNNNNNNNNNNNNNNNNNNNNNNNNNNNNNNNNNNNNNNNNNNNNNNNNNNNNNNNNNNNNNNNNNNNNNNNNNNNNNNNNNNNNNNNNNNNNNNNNNNNNNNNNNNNNNNNNNNNNNNNNNNNNNNNNNNNNNNNNNNNNNNNNNNNNNNNNNNNNNNNNNNNNNNNNNNNNNNNNNNNNNNNNNNNNNNNNNNNNNNNNNNNNNNNNNNNNNNNNNNNNNNNNNNNNNNNNNNNNNNNNNNNNNNNNNNNNNNNNNNAGUAUCAUAAUCUUUGCUAAGUUUUAGAUUGGUGGCCAUAGGUGUACCAACAGGUUUGCACUCCUCCAUUUUGAACCUUCUUAAAACAUCAAAAGCAUAUUUUUGUUGACAUAUGAAAAUUCCACAACUAAGCUGUGUUACUUCCAUACCGAGAAAAUACUUCAUGAUGCCAAGAUCAGUCAUCUCAAAGCAACACCUCAUUUCAUCUUUGAACUGUUAAAUUAGUUCAAAAUUACUUCCUGUUACAAGCAUAUCGUCAACAUAAAUUGAAACAAUUAAGGAAUUUUCUCCACAUGAUUUUACAUACAAGGUUGCUUCACUCUGACUUCUGUAAAAAUCAAGUUGGAGAAGAUGACUGUCCAACCUGUCGUACCAAGCCCGUGGGGCUUGUUUUAAGCCAUACAAAGCCUUCUUUAAAAGAUAAACAUGAUCUUCUUUACCAGGAACUAAAUACCCAUCAGGUUGUUCAAUGAAAAUUUCCUCAACAAGAAAACCAUUCAAGAAAGCAGAUUUAACAUCGAGUUGAUGAAUCUGCCAUGAAUUAUGUGUCGCAAGAGCAAUAAUGAGUCUGAUUGUGUCAUACCUUGCCACAGGAGCAAAUGUUUCCUGGUAGUCCACACCAUAUUGUUGGGCAUAACCCUUCACAACUAAUCUGGCUUUGUGUUUACUGAUUGAACCAUCAGGAUUGAGCUUUGUCUUAAAAACCCAUUUGACUCCUCUGCGGUCUUUCGGUCUCUCUACCAAUUGCCAUGUCUCAUUUUUGUUAAUCAUCUGUAGCUCUUCAUCUAUUGCACUCCUCCAUGCUAAAGACUUAUGAGCUUCUUCAUAGCCAUUAGGUUCGAUGAGAACUGCUGCAUUACAACUUCAAUAGAUGUCUGCCAAGGACCUGACACCUCUCACAGGAAGAUCAUCCACAUUAUCGUUAGAGAAAAAAUCAGCAGUCAAAUCAUCAUUAUGGGACUGAUUAUCUAAGGAAUUUUUAAAGAAAAAAUCAUGUUGCAGUGGGUUUAGAUUUUUCCAAUAAAAAAAUGCCGCUUCAUCAAAUUUCACAUCCCUAGACACAAUAAUUUUUUAUGUCUGUAAAUAGAAAAUACGGUAACCUUUUGUUGAUGUCCCAUAACCAAUAAAAAUGCCUUUCUGAGCUUUACAAUCCAGCUUGCUCCUCUUAGGCUUAGGCACUUGAUAAAAACAAAUGCUCCCAAAUAUUCGAAUAUGGCCAACAGAAGGUUUAACUCCAAACCAAGCUUCAUAUGGUGUCUUGUUCACUAAAGCUCUUGUUGGAAGUUGAUUAAGCAGAUAAACUGAGGUGUUAACAGCCUCUGCCCAAAACUUAUUUGGCAUUUCUUUCUCCUUUAAAAGACACCUAGCCAUUUCCAUCACCGUUCUGUUCUUCCUUUCAGAUACACCGUUCUGCUGCGGUGUGUAUGGGACAAUGAACUGAUGUUCAAUACCAGUUGCUUUGCAAAAAUCAACAAAUUGGGUUGAACUGUAUUCAGCCCCAUUAUCAGAUCUCAAGAUUUUAAUUGUGAGAUUACAUUGAUUUUCCACAAGAGCCUUGAAUUCUUUAAAAACAGUAAAAACUUCACUUUUAAAUUUGAUAAAAUAUACCCAACACAACCUGGUAUAAUCAUCAAUAAAAAGAAUAAAGUAAUUGUUACCACUAAGGGAAGCAAUUUUCAUGGGCCCACACACAUCCGUGUGAAUGAGGUGAAGUUUUUUAGUGGCUCUCAAAGCUUGAUUUUUCGGAAACGGUAACCUUGCUUGUUUUCCAAAUUGGCAUGUCUCACAAAUUUGAUCAACGUGAUUAAUUGUAGGCAUGUCCUCAAUUAAUUCUUUUUGUUGUAUCUCCAUUAAACUUCUCUGAUUGAAAUGCCCGAAUCUUUUGUGCCACAAGUCUGAAUUACUCAAAAUGGUGGUAGUAAAUGCAUGCUCAGCAAUUUGCUCCCAAUUGAUUAAAAAACUCCUGUUUUUCAUUGUUACAGAGAACAUUUUUUCUCCAGCAGGAUUGAAAACUGUGCACUUCCGAUUUCUGAAUUCAAAAGCAUAGUCUCUCUCCAACAUCUGUCCAAUACUCAAAAGAUUUUGGCUAAUUUUAGGUAUAUAUAAAACAUAGAGAUGGCUUUUAUACCUGAUUGAGUUUGGAUAGUAAUAGCACCACUGCCUUCAACUUUAAUAUAUUGGCCAUUCCCAACCUUCACUCUAGACUUAUAAGUAUCAUCAAGAGUAGAAAAGAGAGAAUCAUCUUUGCACAUAUGAUGAGUGCAUCCGCUAUCAAUAAGCCACAAAUCACUUGCUCCAUUGAUAGAAAAACAAAAACCAACAAAAACAUGCUCUUCCUGUACCUCAGAUUCAUCGUCAUCGAUAGAAAGACAGAAAGGCAUAAAUGCUUGCUCCUCUUGCACAUCUACAUCAUCAGCCACUUGUGCUUGUUGGGUUUGAGCAUCUUUUUUUUUGAUUUGCAGACCUUGGCAACAUGUCCCAGUUGUUUACAUUUGCCACAAAUUGCAUCGGGUCUCCACCAACAAAACUUCUCAAGAUGAGUAGUUUUUUUGCAAUGAGAGCAAGGUUGAUAUUUCUUCUGUUUUGACCCAUCUUUGUUGCCUUUGUUCUUCUGAUUGGAAUUUUUUUUGCCUUUUUCAGCAUGUUGUUUAUGCAUAGAAAAUGCUCCUUCUACAGUGUUGUCUUGCCUCAAAAUUCUUCGUUGCUCCUGUGCUUGGGGAGCACUCAUCAACUCAGCCAAAGAAAUAGUGUUAAGAUCCUUGGACUCUUCUAAAGAGGAGAUUUUUGACUCAAACCUCUCAGGAAGAGUCACAAGUACCUUUUCGACAACUCGACUGUUGGGAAAGUCUUCGCCAAGUAACCUGAUAUUAUUAACAAUCGACGAAAUUCUAUCAGUAUACUCAGCAAGAGUUUCAUUUUCUUGCAUGGUUAGGGACUCGAAACUUCUUUUUAAAUUCAACACCUGCAUUUGUUUGGUUCUAUCACUGCCUUGAUACUCUUGUUUCAAUCCGUCCCAUGCUUCUUUUGCGGUUUUGCAAGCCAUAAUUCUGUAAAAAACAGAUUGUCCAACAGAAUUUUGAAUAAGGGUUUUGGCCUUCGAUCGCUUGGCUUUUUCUUCUGAGUUGUGUUUAAUUUGAGCCAAAGUUGGAUCUCUGGGUAGAGGGUUGAUUGGUCUGUCUUCAACAACAAUAUCCCAAAGAUCAAAGGCUUCCAAAUAGCAUUGCAUUUUUACUGACCAAAUCUGGUAGUUUUCACCUAUGAAAAUCUCAGGAGGAUUGAUGGAAAGGCUACUGGAGGCCAUGGUUUUAGGUGGCUGGUGUUUUUGUGUUUUGGUUUUUUAGGAUUGGUUUGGUUAAAAAAAGGUUUAAAUGUUGUUAAAAGCAGGCCCGUAAGACCAUAAGAAGCUCUGAUACCACUGUUAUAAAAUGAAACUGCUGCAAAUUGAAAGUCACAGCAGAAAAUAAUAUUGACAAGGUUUUAAAUGAGUGGAAGACCAUAUAUUACUUUUCACUGUAAUUGGGGUUUUAUACAAGAUGAAAUAACAAAUUCUUCUAAAAUCAAGGAAUCAAAUAACAAAAAAAUAAAGUUGAGAUUCUAAUGCAGGAAAUCUGGAAUUCCAGCUAUGUUAUUGAAAAAAUAAUAAACAUAUCUAAUUUGAAAUUCAAAUUAGUUGUUGUAGUCAAAAUGCCAGUACUUCAACAUUAACAAUAUCUUCUCUAGAUAAGAUAUCACUCUUAUUGAGAGAAUUCCUUUAGGCAGUCAAAACUCUGAAGAUAUCAGCUAUUGGUUCAUAGAAAAAGAAAGGUUCUACUUUUUCAAAAGCACCUAUAAAUUAUCAUAAGAAACCAUCAUCAAAGAGCAACCGAAUCCUUUUUGGAAUCCAAUUUGGAACCUCCGAAUACUUCCAAAAGAGUAAAACUUUAUUCGGAGAGUUUACGCUAAUUGUUUGCCAACUAAAGCAAACUUGAUUACCACGAAUAUCCAAGUUUAUGCCUCUUGUGAUUUUUGUGACGCUAUCUCAAAAGAUUUGGAAUAAAUUUUUAUCUCAUGUCCUCUAGCAAAAGGCUGUUGGCAAUAUAUAUCCCAUCUUUGCCUAUUUGCCACAAACGAGAACUUCAAGUCCUGGAUUAAGAAUGUUUUCAACAAAGUUGAUGAAUGCAAUCACAGCCUCAUAUUUAUGAUUUUGUGGUCAAUUUGAAAAGGCAAAAAUGCUCUAGUUUGGAAAGGAUCCCGACCAUCGUCUUCUCAUAUCCUUUUUUCGGCGUCCACUUUGCUUCAUAGCUGGACCUUGCAAAAGCAUCCAGCAAUCCAAUUUCUUCAACACAAUUUUCAUUUUGGUUUAAGCCUCCAGGAGGUUUCUUCAAAUGUAAUAAAAAUGCAAAUUCAAAACUAGACUGAAAUUGGCUUGGAGCGGAAUGGAUACUAAAAGAUAAUUAAGGAUGCUUCAUAAGGGGAUGCAAGAUCCUUCUGAUUAGAGAAUCGCGGAGGUAAUCUGUUUCAUGGAAGCUCUAAGCUAAGCAAAUCAUAAAGGUCUACAUAAUACCAUUUUUGAAUCUAACUCUCAAGUUUUAAUUUGAGUUAUCACCGAUAAUUUAUUAUAUUUAUCUUAAUUUGGUUCUAUUAUAAAUGAUUGUAUUUUUUUUCUGUCUGAACUUUCAAAUUGUUCAGUUGUUUUUCCCCGUGUAUCAACAAACAUUGUCGCCCAUAAUUUAGCUACGACAGCUUAUUCCCAUGUUCAGGAGUAGGGUCUUUCCUUCCUGUUUUCCUACUUACUGUUUUACGUUGAGAAUUAUAGUAUUUUCUCUAAAAAAAAUACCAAUACAUUUGUUUUGCUAAAAAUUGGAAAAGAAAGAGAUCUGCACUGGUUUUUGGGGAAGGUGAUCGUGAUGACCGCUUAGGAAUUAGAGUUCAGAGUUGAAUGAUUUCAUUUCAAAUGCGUGUUUCUCAAUGAUCGAAGCAUUUCCAUUGUAAUUAUUUUAACUGAGGGAUUUGUCAGUCAACAUUCAUACGCACUUCAAUCGAACGACUUUAAAGAAAAAAAAUCAAAUAGUUUAUUAUUCCUUUGGAUUAUGACAGCCCACCAGAAUCCAUAAUAUUAUUAUUUUUUUAUCUGCAAACAAAUACGUACCCACGAAAGUCAUAUAUUCAGCGUUGAAGUAUUCUACUACAAGAAAAUAAAAUAAAAUAAAAGCUGGGAAUUGACUCAAGUCUUCUUUCUACUGAAGCUUCAUAUAUGUGCCUAUAAAUAUUUCUUCUGGAUUCAGUUACUAAUCACACACUGCAAUCCAAACUCAGAGCUUACAGAGAAAACAAGAGAAAAGUUUCACUCUUUCUUCCUCAUGGCUCUAUUGGGUAGCAGUUUCUUGCCAAAGCAGACCAUGCUCCACAUGCCUAACAAAGUCCUUAAGCCAUUCGAAAGAAAAUCUUCUGUGAACAUGUGGGUGACCAUCUUCCGCUGAUGCCUCCUUGUCUUCUACUUCCUGUUCUUUCUAUUAAUUUGCUUUCCUAUUUUUCUUUAAUAUCACCAUAUAAAUACAAGAUCUUUAUACAAUUUUGCUUGUUAUUAACUAGUUUUUCUUUUAUCUUUUUUAUUAUCAGAACAUAUUGUGAUAGAUCAAAGGAAAAGCCUCCCUCAGGAAGUGGCUCACAACACAACAAAAUUCUCAGAAUUCAUCAGAGCCAGAGGAGAGUUGAAUUUACACAGGAGUUAUUGUGCUCUGAUAAUAGAUCGAAUGCUUUUGAAGAUGAUAAGAAAACUCAAGGACUCGAUGCUUCCAUUUCUUUGAUGAUCCACUGACAAUCAUCUUCUAAUUCCCAAGUUUUUGUUGCCCUUUGCUUCAUCCGUAAAAGAAAGAAAAAAAAAAUGUAAUUCUUCUUCUCAUGCAUUCACCAAACUUCCCAUUUUUGUCUCUGGUGAGAAAUCAUUUUUGCAGUUAAGGCUGUAGAAAAUGCAAUAAACUUAUUAUUUGAAGUCUUCUUGUAGUCCAACUCAUGGUUCUCCUUUCCUGGACAGCAAAACGGAUCGGUCAAGGUGGAUUCGGAUGAUCCAUUUUUUUGUUUAUUUAAAUUUGUUAGUUAUAUUUUAAUUAUUUUGAGUUUUCCCUUUUAAAUAGUGUUUGAAAUUAAUUAUAAUAAUUAAAAAUAUUCUAAAAAUAAUAAUUCACAUUAAAAAUAAAUAAAACUUUUAUGUAAAUGUUGGAUCCAGAAGAGACCAAUAAUAAUUCUUUUAUAUAAAUUAUUUGAUUGACUUUAGAUUGGCUGCUAGUUUGAAAAAAGGGAUUUGAAUUCAGUAGUAAACAGCCAGAGAAAAUGUUCUCAAUAUAAAUUCGAUUAAUAUAAUAAAUAUGUGAAUUUGGUCUGAAUUUAAUUAAAAUUUACUUUAAAUUAUUAAGACUCAUCCUAAAUUUCAUUAUACCAACAAAAAUAAUAUUCUCUUUAAGAAAAUGCUCUUUCAACGUAGCUGUAGCCACUAAUAAGAGUAAUGAUAAUAUAUACAAUAUAUUUUCUUGUAAUUACCGUAUUUUCAACAAAAAUUCUAAUUUUUUCACAUAAAACAACUUCUUGUUCAUUUGCAUAUUAAAAAGAAAGUUCUCAAGUUGAGUUUCAAGUUCAAUUAAAACAAUUAAAGAAAAUUCACAUGUAUUCAUAUCAAAUACAGAGAAUGAGUUUUUAGAAUUAAGACAUACCAUACAUAAAAAUAAAUUGUAUUCACUUUAUUAAAACGAUUAUUAAGUUUUUGGAACUACAUAUCAAUAAUAGAGUAAAAUAGUUUAACAUAAAAUGAAAAUUUAUUAUCUUUUCGGUUUUUCUUCUUGAUCUCCUUCUCAUUAUGUAUAAUCGUCCAUAUCUGAUACAACUAUAUCAUAUUUACCACAAAAUUACACUAUUUUAAGUAGUAAAGAUUUCCGACCAUCCUUUCCUAUAAUUUGUAAGCGGCGUUUAGAACUUUCCUAUAAUUUGUAAGCGGCGUUUAAAAAUUUUAACUAACUGCAUAACAUUUACAAUUAUGUAUAAUCGUCCAUAUCUGAUACAACUAUAUCAUAUUUACCACAAAAUUACACUAUUUUAAGUAGUAAAAAUUUCCGAUCAUUCUCUCCUAUAAUUUAUAAGCAGAGUUUAGAACUUUUCUAUAAUUUAUAAGCGGCGUUUAAAAAUUUUAACUAACUGCUUAACAUUUACAAUAUCUUUGCAAAACUUGUGAUAAGACUAUUACCAUACUAAUUCAUCCAUAAAGCCGUAUCUGACCAAAGUUUAAACGGUUACCCAUUAAAAAAUAUUUAAAAUUUAUUUAAUUUUUUUAAUUUUAGUUAGAUAUAAAUUAUUACCCGUAAAAAAUAUAUUUAAUAUUUACAUAAUUUUUCUAAUCUUUAAGUAGAUAUAAACUAUUAUUCAUAAAAAUUAUAUUUAAUAUUUACAUCAUUUUUUAAAUUUUUAUUACACAAAAUUAUUAUUCAUAAAAAUAAUAUUUAAUAUUUACAAAAUUUUUAAUUUUGAGUAGAUUAAAUUAUUACCCAUAAAAAUAUUAUUUAAAAUUUAUACUAUUUUACUAAUUUUGAUUAGAUUCAAUUAUUAUCCAUAAAAAUAAUUUUUAAAAUUUAUACAAUUUUUUUAAUUUUAAGUAAACUAAAUUACUACCUAUAAUAAUAAUAGUAUUAAUAAUUAAGUGAAAUAAACAAUAAUAAAUUAACAAUAUAAUAAAAUAAAUAAAAAUAUAAAUUAAUUCUUAACAAUAUAAAAAAAAUAAGAGAGAAAGAUGGAUAAUGAAUAGUGGAUUUUAAAAAAAAUAAAACUUAUGAAAUAAAAUGAAAUUUGUUGAAUAAAAAUUGAAAGGCGAAAGAAAAUGAGAUGGUGGAGGCUGUUGUAAAAGUGAGAAAUAUAAAAAAAAAUUUAAAAAUUUCAGAAAACUCAUGGCUACCUUUGACUUCAUGUUGGACCCGUUGCUCGUUCUGAUUUAAAAACUAAAAAUAAUUAAAAUAGUAAAUAUAAAAUCAGUUCAAUAUACAUGGUUCAAUUUUUAAAAUAAAGAUUUUUUUCGAUCUGAAUAUAAUUCAAUUUAAGAUCUUAAAAACUGUAUACAAUCCUAAAACUCAUUGUGAAUGAUGGUUAGGCAUUGAAAAUAGACAAUGUAAACUUGAGUCAUAUAUUCAGAUCAGUUGAAAUAUUCAGCUACACGAAACAAUAAAAAAGGAAAGGCAGAUGGGAAUUGACUUGAGUCUUCUAGAGAAGCUAAUUCAUCAGCCUGUAAAAAAAUUAAAAUUACUUAGAAAAAAAAAUUAAGAGUAAAAAAAUCGAUAUUUUAUAUAUAAUAAAAAUUGAGUAUUCAGAUUUUUUAAAUUUAAGAAUCGGACCAAUUUUAUGUUCAAUAAAAGUAUUUAAAUUUUUAAUUUUGGUAAUUAAAUCAAAUUUAAAAGAAUUAUUGUUGAAACUCAUUAAAUUUUAUUUUUUUAAUGGAGGAUCAAUCUUCAUACUAAAAUUUUUUUAAAAAAUUAAAAAUUUGAAGAGCCAUGACCACCCCAAUGUGUAUGUGGGACUGUGGGUUCCCCCUUACCAACCUUAAGCCGCGUGAAAGAGUGUCUUCUACGUUGACGUGUGUGACCAUCUUUCACUUGUGUGACCAUCUUUCACUAAUGCCUCCGUCUCCUCUUCUUUCCAUUAAUUUACUUUAGGGAAUUUAUUAUUUUAUUUUUUAAUAUAUAAAGAAAAUCUCAUUCCAUUUCAAAAAAAAAAAAGUCAUUAGUUAUUUUUUUAUUAUAAAAAAAACAUUCAUCAGAUUUUAAAAGAAUUAAUUAAUUAAUUAUUAUAUUAAUUUUAACUAUUAUUUAAUUAUUUUAAUAUAUAAAAAUUUAUUAAUUAAUUUAUCAAUUUUAUAAAAAUAUUUACGAGUUAAUAUCUUUAUAUUAAAGAUAUUUUAAAUUUUUUUAUAAUAUUUAAUAAAAUUAAUAGAUAUACUAAUUAAUAAAUCUUUAACAUUUCAUAAAAAUUUUAAUUUAUUUUUAAAAUUAAAAAUUAAAAAUUAAUGGAUAUACUAACUAAUUAUUUUAAAAAAAAAUUAAAAAAUUAAAAAAAAAUUUAUAUUAAAAAUCCAAAUGAUAAUUUUUCUUUUUCUUUAAUAUGAUAAUAUCUUUUUAUUUUCCACUGCAUAUGCUAACUACUUUUAUUAUCAGAACAUAUUGUGAUAAAGAAAAGGGAAAACCUAACUCAUGAAGUGGAUCGCAACACAAAAAAAAAACCUCAGAAUCCAGAGUAGAAUUGACAUUUAACAGUUGUUAAUAUUUU